rnacentral:rRNA from 1 species
CGUAAUCCGGGUUGCGGACAGUGUCUGGUGGGUAGUUUGACUGGGGCGGUCUCCUCCUAAAGAGUAACGGAGGAGCACGAAGGUUGGCUAAUCCUGGUCGGACAUCAGGAGGUUAGUGCAAUGGCAUAAGCCAGCUUGACUGCGAGCGUGACGGCGCGAGCAGGUGCGAAAGCAGGUCAUAGUGAUCCGGUGGUUCUGAAUGGAAGGGCCAUCGCUCAACGGAUAAAAGGUACUCCGGGGAUAACAGGCUGAUACCGCCCAAGAGUUCAUAUCGACGGCGGUGUUUGGCACCUCGAUGUCGGCUCAUCACAUCCUGGGGCUGAAGUAGGUCCCAAGGGUAUGGCUGUUCGCCAUUUAAAGUGGUACGCGAGCUGGGUUUAGAACGUCGUGAGACAGUUCGGUCCCUAUCUGCCGUGGGCGCUGGAGAACUGAGGGGGGCUGCUCCUAGUACGAGAGGACCGGAGUGGACGCAUCACUGGUGUUCGGGUUGUCAUGCCAAUGGCACUGCCCGGUAGCUAAAUGCGGAAGAGAUAAGUGCUGAAAGCAUCUAAGCACGAAACUUGCCCCGAGAUGAGUUCUCCCUGACUCCUUGAGGGUCCUGAAGGAACGUUGAAGACGACGACGUUGAUAGGCCGGGUGUGUAAGCGCAGCGAUGCGUUGAGCUAACCGGUACUAAUGAACCGUGAGGCUUAACCUU